CUUGGAAUGUUCUACAAGGUUUAUAUCAACUGAGGGUUGAAAAAUCCUACUUAUCCACUCUCCUUACUUUAGAGAUGAGGAAUUUGAAUCUUAGAGAGUUUAUGACUUAUCCAAUUGGUGGUAUUACCGAAAACCAAAAGCCAGUUUGCUUCCUAGUUGAAUGUUCUUUCCAUCAUGCCAUGUGGAGUUAUUUUGAGUCAACCAGAAAAUCUGCAAGGACAUCAAAAUAAUGUUCUUUCUCCCUCUGACCUCAGUAAUAACCGGUUAAAGAUUUAGAAUGCUUUAGAGUAAAUCCUCAAAGCAGCUGCAGGUCCUCAAUGUUCCAGAAUAGAUAUUUUAAGUUCUCCAAAUAAAAAAUCCCAAUAAAGACCUUCUUUUUGCAGUAACUAAAAAAGUUUCCAGCUCUCCUGUCACAAAGUGGCUAUUGAGACUUCAAAUGUCAGAUGAUCUCCUUUGAAGCAGCAAAAUAGAGUGGAUAGAACUCCAGGAUGGAUGUCAAAAAACUCUGUGAUCCUAGUUCUAACUCAAAUUUACCUUUCAUAUGGUAUGAGGUUGGCAACAAAUGAUUCAUGGACCACCACUCAUCUAUAGACCAGACAUUAGUAAGAUGUGCUUGCUUCUCCUUCGCCUUUCACCAUGACUGUAAGUUUCCAGAGGCCUCCCAGUCAUGGUUCCUGUUAAGCUUGCAGAACGUGCACACAACCUGGAGCAAAGAGAUGUCAACGUAGACUUGAAAGCCUCAACAAACAUCUAUACAUUCAAAAUUCAGAGGAUAAUUGCAGACUUACAUGUUAAAUGAUGCCACAGGCUUGUGGUGAAUGUACAAAUCUAAUUCC
rnacentral:lncRNA from 10 species